rnacentral:rRNA from 1 species
UAGUAGCGUAUAUUAAAGUUGUUGCAGUUAAAAAGCUCGUCGUUGGAUUUCUGGGAUGACUUGCCCGGCCCGCUCGGUUUACCGAUGUGAGUGCUGGAGCGUGUCUCCCAUCCUUCUAGAGUAAAGCGACUCCCGUUACGCGGUGUGGUUGCGGAGCUCUAGAUCUUUUACUUUGAAAAAAUUAGAGUGUUUAAAGCAGGCUUGCGCUUAUGAAUACAUUAGCAUGGAAUAAUGAUAUAGGACUUCGACCUAUUUAUUGGUUUCUGGACGAAGUAAUGAUUGAUAGGGAUAGUUGGGGGUGCUUCUAUUAUGUAGUCAGAGGUGAAAUUCUCGGAUUUACAUAAGAGAAACUUAUGCGAAAGCAUUCGCCAAGGAUGUCUUCUUUA